AUGCUUAACACAUGCAAGUCGACUGGAAUUCUUCUUCGGAAGAUAGUACGGUGGCGGACGGGUGAGUAACGCGUAAAGAAUUUACCCUUCAGACUGGGACAACUAAUCGAAAGGUUAGCUAAUACCGGAUAUUAUGAGACCUUGGCAUCAAGGACUUAUGAAAGCUAUAUGCGCUGGAGGAGAGCUUUGCGUUCCAUUAGCUAGUUGGUAGGGUAAUGGCCUACCAAGGCAACGAUGGAUAGCCGGCCUGAGAGGGUGAACGGCCACAAGGGGACUGAGACACGGCCCUUACUCCUACGGGAGGCAGCAGUGGGGAAUAUUGGACAAUGGACCAAAAGUCUGAUCCAGCAAUUCUGUGUGCACGAUGAANGUCUUCGGAUUGUAAAGUGCUUUCAGGUGGGAAGAAGAAAGUGACGGUACCACCAGAAGAAGCGACGGCUAAAUACGUGCCAGCAGCCGCGGUAAUACGUAUGUCGCA
rnacentral:rRNA from 1 species